GAUGAACGCUGGCGGCGUGCCUAAUACAUGCAAGUAGAACGCUGAAGGAAGGAGCUUGCUCUUUCCGGAUGAGUUGCGCACGGGUGAGUAACGCGUAGGUAACCUGCCUGGUAGCGGGGGAUAACUAUUGGAAACGAUAGCUAAUACCGCAUAACAGUAGAUGUUGCAUGAUAUCUACUUAAAAGGUGCAAUUGCACCACUACCAGAUGGACCUGCGUUGUAUUAGCUAGUUGGUGAGGUAACGGCUCACCAAGGCGACGAUACAUAGCCGACCUGAGAGGGUGAUCGGCCACACUGGGACUGGGACACGGCCCAGACUCCUACGGGAGGCAGCAGUAGGGAAUCUUCGGCAAUGGACGGAAGUCUGACCGUGCAACGCCGCGUGAGUGAAGAAGGUUUUCGGAUCGUAAAGCUCUGUUGUAAGAGAAGAACGAGUGUGAGAGUGGAAAGUUCACACUGUGACGGUAUCUUACCAGAAAGGGACGGCUAACUACGUG
rnacentral:rRNA from 1 species